UGUUGGUGCUGAUUUGGUGAGUAUUAAAAAUUGGGGCAGGCAGAUUCUUGAAGGUUUGAGCUUUCUCCAUUGCCAAAACCCUAAGAUCAUUCAUCGAGAUAUUAAGUGUGACAAUGUGUUUGUUGAUUGUGGUGGGAAGGAAAUUACUCUUGGAGAUUUUGGGUUGGCGAUUCGUGUUAUGGAAGGUAAGUUGGUGAAGGAGAAAGAGACUAAAGGUACCCCGGAAUUCAUGGCUCCAGAGUGUUACGAUGGAGAAUACAACGAGUUGGUUGAUAUAUAUUCAUUCGGGAUGUGUCUUCUUGAGAUGGUUACUGGUGAAUAUCCGUAUCUGGAAUGUAGCAGUGG
rnacentral:misc_RNA from 1 species